UUCGAUUACCGGGAGAGCAUGCGCUGUCUCAGAGUGUAAGAGUCCGCACUAAACUCCAAGUUUUAAUUUGGUCGUCCCAAAGUACGGGAGUGUUUUUAGUUGCUAUUGACUACUUAAAACAGUGAUGCCAAAUGCCAAGCAGAUAAAAGCCAAAGAAACCAAAGAAAAAGAAGAUUUCUCAUAAACCACCCAAAUCUCCAAAAUCUCCUUAUCUCUCAGACACAUACCAGCACCCAAAAAAAAAGCUGCAGUUUGGAGAUCUUAAAAAGGCACUGGGACAAUGCAUGUUGACAAUCCUUCGGCUAGAGUACCCUGGGAGCUUGCAUCACUUACAAGUGGACUUGGAUAUGUUCCUGGAACCACUGACUACUAAGAGAAAGAGGACAUGUAUAAUGGGAUCAUUGAACUCAAGAAGAUAAGCUCUGUAACACUUUCAGUUAAGAAUUACAAAGGAAACUCUUGGAGGAUGAACUCUGUCCUUAAGCAGCAUUCAAAACAUGUUGGGCCCGAUCUUCGAUCUUUGCGCAAUCCCUCACUAAAUUUAUGCCUCACAAAAAAAUAGUGCUUUGGCACAAAAUGAGAGCUAUUUCAAAAAGGCACAAAGCA